CUACCAAUAAUUGUGUGGAAUGCAGCAAACAUGGAGAGAGAGAGCCCAGCAGACAUGGAAGUGGGUGAAAUAACCCAACAGCUUUAACAGUGCAGAUGGAAAGAAAAUCCUCCAGCAUGGAAAGAAAAUACAUCUCAUCACCGCAACCAUUUUCACUCAAGACAGUCAAUAGACUAGUCGAGGCAGAAUUCGGAUGAUGGUUUAGAUGGAUUCUUCCCUAUUCUACUAGCAGAUACUGGUGGGAUGCUCAGAAUCACAGCCAUCUUGAAUCCUGUAUUUUCCAACUAUGCUGGAAUGAAGGGCAUCCAUGGACCAUAUGAAACACUCCUCACAGCUUCCAUAUGUCUCAGUGCAGUGAACAUCAGGCAUGGCCCUCAGCAGGCAGCCCCUGCCCAAGGCAACAUGUGGAAGUGGAUUCUGGUCUUCAGGGCUUCCAGCAUUCACUUUUGUUCCCCAUCUGUCUCUCUUCUCAUCAUAUGUCCCUCCUUAGGUCCCAGAAGCUAUGAAUGGAUCAUAAAUCAGUGCCCUGGCCACAAAGGAUCCCAGGAACAUGAGAUUCAGACAUUGUCUUCUUCUAUACUGCUUGGUAUUUCAUCACAGAAAGACAGACAAGGUCAGUUAAAGGAAAGAACUGGAGAGGUUAAUUAAAUCAGAUAAGGUCAGGUAAGACCAGAACGCCAGGCAGGCAAGAAAUAUCAAGGGCCAUUUUCACAAGAUGGCACUGAAGGUGAAGAAGGAAGUUCCUGCCCCUCCCAAAGCUGAAGCAAAAGCAAAGGUUUUGAAAGCCAAGAAGGCAGAGAUGAGAGGCAUCCACAGACACAAGUCACCCACCUUCUGGGACCCAAGACCCUGUGGUUCCAGAGGCAGCUCAAAUGUCUUCAGAAGAGCACCCCCAGGGGAAACAAGCUUGACCAUCAUGCCAUCCAUCGUCAGGCUCCCAACUGCCGAGUCCACCAUGAAGACAGAAGACAACCACAUGCCUGUGUUCACUGUGGAUGCCAAAGCCAACAAGUGCCAGAUCAAACAGGCUGUGAAGAAACUCUGUGACACUGAUGUGGCCAGUGUCAAUAACCUAAUCAGGGCCUGGUGGAGAGAAGAAGGCAUACAUUCCACUGUUUAUCAUGCUUUGGAUAUUGCCAACAAGAUUGGGAUCAUCUAAACUGAGUCCAACCGACUAAUUCUAAAUAUACAUUGUUUCACCAUUAAAAAAAAAAUCAUGUUCUGUAAAAUAGGCUUAGGAAAGGAGAAAGAAUGUUCUAGGGAGGAUGGAGACUUUCUGAGGAAGAAUCUUGAUGGCCCUGGGAAUUGAACACUGGAGAAGAGCUAUGUUAGUUAAACUGCUCUACAUAAGAGUUAAGUCAAGAAUUUAGACUUUUGCGUAUUGAGGACACAAGGGCCUUCAUCCUACAGAACUUCCUAAAAUCUGUAUUUUGCUGGUUGCACUCUUGUGGUGUUAGUAAAGAAGCGGAGGCUGAGUUCUGGGUCUGGAGGUAUAGAGCUACACAGAACGUGUGGGAGCAGAAGCUAGAAGCAAGGAUACUAUGAACAUAGAUGGGGUCUUGCUAUGUGAAGUGAACUCCUGGCCUCAAGCAACCCCCCUGCCUCAGCCUUCCAAAACACUGGGACUACAGGAAUGAGCCACCGCACCCAACCCUCAACAAAGCAUCUUUCUAUGAAGUACCACAUGGCUAAGAUUAUAAGAAAAUUCCACUGGUCCCAUCAGCCUUCACCCCAAGACAAAGUAGUCCUGUUCUUCGACCAGCUGCAAAGACUUCUUUAUUUCACUCAACUGUGGACUCAGGCCGCAAAGAUACCAUUGAAAGCAUUAAAAAAAAAAAAACAACUAAAGAGUGUGAACUUUUCCUGACCUUAUUUUUGGGAUGGAGCUCACAGUACAAGUGCACAUUUAAAAGCCUGCAAUGGAGGUGUUUGGAUUACUUGCCAUGUUGGAGUACAUCAAUGUCAGCACUGAGAGAUGAUCUAACCAGUGGUUCUCAACCUUCACCGUGCAUGUGAAUCAUCUGGGCAGAAUCACGUGAGGGAAAAUUAAAAUAUACAGAUGUCCAGGCCCCACCCCAGAGAUUCUGAUUCAACUGGUCUAGGGUAGCACCAGCAUUUCUGAAAAAUGUCCUUGGUGACUCUAAUGUAUAGUCAAAAUUGAAAAUCAUUCCAUGUUCUUUAUUUUCGAGAUGCGGUUACUGAAUACCAGAAAAGUUAAAUACUUUUGUAAAGUUGCAGCUGAAAAUUUGUGGGGCUGGGAUUCAAUCCCAGGUACUUCUAACUUCAAAUUCCUCUCCCCUUCUGCCAAUGUAUUUUAUAGAUCAUAUGGCCUCGAUGCGGCUGAGUUGGAAUACAGACCUUAGGUCUCCUGGAUUCCUGCCUAAUGAUUUUCUGGCUCCACCAUAUCAAUAUCCACUUUCUUUCUAGCUCUUGACUUACUGGAGUGAGAAUCAACAGCAAUUUUCCCCUUUCACUGAACUUCUGGAUAGGUUGUCCCAGAGAAUAUGAAGCUAGCUUUCUUUCGUUCGAACAUUAGGCAAAGGUAAAGUCAAUCAAAAUUUAUAGCCAGGGCUCAGAAACUCAUUUCUACAGGAUUCUGUAACCAAGCUUCCAGAAGGAUUUGAGAGUCUUAGAAUCUUGGUUUUCCCAGGAAUGAGCCAGUCAAAAAGAGGUCACCAGCUGAACUAGAUGAUUCUGAUUCAACAAAUCCAUCUCCUUUGUCUGUCUUCUUUAGGAAUUUUUCCUUGUUUACAAAAGAUUAUGGAAGAAAGGAGUUAAUUUCUAUGGCCUCUUUUUUCUUGCCUUCUUAGAGAAAACAUCUUUCACUUCCAAAUUGACUUGAAAAUUUAUGAUAAGAAUGAAGAUAAAAACAACUAGCUUACUGAGAGCUUAUUGGCAAACACUUCACGUUAUAUUAUAAAAUUUCAUAGCAAUCACAUGACAUAGGUAUGUUUCUACUACAUAGCUUUUCAGCUGAUGACACUAAGGCUCAGAGAAGUUAAAUUAUUUGUCUAAGGUCACACAGCUAGCAAGUAGUGGAAUUGGAAUUCACAGCUUGACACCACAAACUCUGUGCUGGGCUUUGUCGGUGUCUGCACUAGAAAGGGCUGACGUGAUGCCUGUGAUUCUGGUCUUCAUCUGUUAACCCCUUCAGCCUAUGUACAGAAGGCAUGGGCUGUACCAAGGACUUUCUCCUUGGCAAGAUUUGCCUUCUGUCGUAUGCAAAGGAAAAGAUUUCCUCUUCACAUCAGUGGUCUUCAGAAGAUAACCUACCAAAUCCAAUCACUUGCCUCAAGGCUGGACAACUGUGCUAUGCAAAACACUCUGGAAUUCUCAUGGACUAAAUCAGCACUAGACUUGACUUGAGACCACGUUCUUCUCGAUUCCUUCUGCUGCUCUAACCUGCUUCCCUCACUUACUAACAUUUUUUUUUCUUCUAAAGAGCAUUCAGUAUAUUAAGAGUAUGUGAAUCUCCAUCUCAGACCCUACUUCUGGGAAACCUGAGCUGAGACAAUUGGUACCAGGAGUAGUCCUAGGAAGCUGACUCUAAGGAUGAAAUUCUGAAGUUGGAUCACUUCGAACCUUCUGCUAAAGGAGGUUAUCAUCACUGGUGGUAGGUGCAGAGUGAUAGUCCCUGGCUGCUGUAGCAGCUCAGUUAAGAAGCCUCUCACCUGUAGUGAACUGGGUGGGACACAUGGUAAAUACACACGGUAUUGAUUCCCCCAGUUCUUCUCUAAAGGGAACAUUGGUCAUUUACUCAGGUAACAGCACAAUGAGAAAAAUGGAACACCUAUACCAUUUGAGGGCUGUAGAUACAAAGUUCAAGUUGACACUGACGCACAGGGACCCAAAGCUCCAUCUGGGCCUCCAAUAGAGUAAAAGUACAGGGGAGUCAUGUAAUAAAUGAAGUCCUGACCCAGGUCUAUCUCACAGUGUCCACUGGAUCCAGAUACCACCCAGUGGUUGUUUCCUCAGUUCCUGAAUACGUAAUGGAAAGGGACACAUUAAGUUGUUGGCAAAAUCCUUACACUGGUUCAUUGACCUAUACGCUUAGAGCUAUUUAAUAAGAAAGGUUCAGUGCAAGCAACUGAAACUCCCUUCAUGUCCAGCCAAGAUAGCAAAUGUAAAGUAAUCAUUAUAUCUUUGGGGAAAUGGUAGAUAAAGAUUUAAAGGAUGCAGGGGCAAUCGUCCUGCAAAAACUAGGUUCAUCAUGGAGAAUAACAGUGUGCCACUGCAAACUUAACCAAUUAGUACAGCCAAUUGCACCUGCUGUUCUGGAAAUGGUGUCUUUAUUAGAGACUCUGGCAAGU